UGGUGCGACCGUACCAGCACUAGUGCACCGGAUCCCAUCGAAACUCCACAGUUAAGUGUGCUUGGGCAAGAGUAGUACUAGGAUGGGUGACCUCCUGGGAAGGCCUUAUGUUUCACCCC
rfam:Gossypium hirsutum cultivar TM-1 chromosome 14, whole genome shotgun sequence